AACGAACGCUGGCGGCAGGCUUAACACAUGCAAGUCGAGCGCCCCGCAAGGGGAGCGGCAGACGGGUGAGUAACGCGUGGGAAUCUACCCAUCUCUACGGAACAACGCAUGGAAACGUGUGCUAAUACCGUAUACGUCCUUCGGGAGAAAGAUUUAUCGGAGAUGGAUGAGCCCGCGUUGGAUUAGCUAGUUGGUGGGGUAAAGGCCUACCAAGACGACGAUCCAUAGCUGGUCUGAGAGGAUGAUCAGCCACACUGGGACUGAGACACGGCCCAGACUCCUACGGGAGGCAGCAGUGGGGAAUAUUGGACAAUGGGCGCAAGCCUGAUCCAGCCAUGCCGCGUGAGUGAUGAAGGCCCUAGGGUUGUAAAGCUCUUUCACCGGUGAAGAUAAUGACGGUAACCGGAGAAGAAGCCCCGGCUAACUUCGUGCCAGCCGCCGCCGUAAUAC
rnacentral:rRNA from 1 species